rnacentral:rRNA from 1 species
GACAAAGGGUGCAAACGUUGUUCGGAAUUACUGGGCGUAAAGCGCGUGUAGGCGGCUAUGUAAGUCGGGCGUGAAAUCCCACGGCUCAACCGUGGAAGUGCACCCGAAACUGCGUAGCUAGAGUCCUGGAGAGGAAGGUGGAAUGCUUGGUGUAGUGGUGAUAAUGCGUAGAUAUCGGGAGGAACACCAGUGGCGAAGGCGGCUUUCUGGGCCUUACCUGACGCUGAGACGCGAAAGCGUGGGGAG